rnacentral:rRNA from 1 species
GACGAACGCUGGCGGCGUGCUUAACACAUGCAAGUCGAACGGAAAGGCCCUGCUUUUGUGGGGUGCUCGAGUGGCGAACGGGUGAGUAACACGUGAGUAACCUGCCCUUGACUUUGGGAUAACUUCAGGAAACUGGGGCUAAUACCGGAUAGGAGCUCCUGCUGCAUGGUGGGGGUUGGAAAGUUUCGGCGGUUGGGGAUGGACUCGCGGCUUAUCAGCUUGUUGGUGGGGUAGUGGCUUACCAAGGCUUUGACGGGUAGCCGGCCUGAGAGGGUGACCGGCCACAUUGGGACUGAGAGACGGCCCAGACGCCUACGGGAGGCAGAAGUGGGGAAUAUUGCACAAUGGGCGGAAGCCUGAUGCAGCAACGCCGCGUGCGGGAUGACGGCCUUCGGGUUGUAAACCGCUUUCGCCUGUGACGAAGCGUGAGUGACGGUAAUGGGUAAAGAAGCACCGGCUAACUACGUG